UGUAAUUACUACUUGGUAGUUUAAAUUUCUAGGUAGAAUUUUGAUAAUGACAUUAUCUAUCUAUAUGUCUUGACCAAAUUACGUGCCAGCAGUCGCGGUAAGACGUAGAAGACGAGUGUUAUUCAUCUUUAUUAGGUUUAAAGAGUACCAAGACGGUCAAUAAAGCCCAAAAUACAUGAACACGGGGGACACAUUGACUAGAGUUAUAUGAAAAGAAGCUGUAAAGUACUGUUUGUUUAGAGUUGAUAUUCUUUUAUACUAGAUAAUUGGCACAGAUUAAUGCGAAGGCAUCUUCUUAUGUAAUAACUGACGUUGUAGGACGAAGGCUUUUGAAGUGAGCGGGAUUAGUCACCCCGGUAAUCUAAGCAGAAAAUGAUGAAUGUCAUAGGUUAAAUAGGCAGUAAACAAAGUAGCACUGCAAUACAUUUGGUCUAUAAAUGAAAGUGUAAGCAUUCCACCUCAAGAGUAAUAUGGCAACAUUGAAACUGAAAUCAUUAGACCGUUUCUGAAACCAGUAGUGAAGUAUGUUGUUUAAUUAGAUGAUACACAAAAAACCUUACCACCAUUGAUUUAUGUUUGAAAAAAUACUAUCUCAAUUUAUACUUGAAUAAUAUUUUUAAAGAUAUAUACAAGUGCUGCACGGCUGUCUUCAGUUAAUGUCGUGAGACUGUGGUUAGUUCCACAAAAUUAACGUAAACCCUCACUUUAUUUAUAAAUAAAGUU
rnacentral:rRNA from 1 species